rnacentral:rRNA from 1 species
CAGAAGAAGCACCGGCUAACUCCGUGCCAGCAGCCGCGGUAAUACGGAGGGUGCAAGCGUUAAUCGGAAUUACUGGGCGUAAAGCGCACGCAGGCGGUCUGUCAAGUCGGAUGUGAAAUCCCCGGGCUUAACCUGGGAACUGCAUUCGAAACUGGCAGGCUAGAGUCUUGUAGAGGGGGGUAGAAUUCCAGGUGUAGCGGUGAAAUGCGUAGAGAUCUGGAGGAAUACCGGUGGCGAAGGCGGCCCCCUGGACAAAG